AGCUGAUGAGACCGAGGUGGAAGACUGGUUCACCCACUACCAACUGGUUCACGAGCGGCUGACAAAGCUUCAUGGGCUGUGAGUCUGCUGCACAGUGGUGUCCAGCAACAGACAACUGCAGCAGCAAGUGCCUUCAAGUUACUUCUCAAGAUGUGCCAUUGGGGCUGUCUAUUGACUAGGCAUGCAAGACAUGUUAUGGUGGCACUACAGGGUCAUGAAUUUGGUACAUACUGCCAAAUGAAAAGUGGACAAUUUAUUUUUCUAGAAAUUGAAUUAAUGAUAUUAGCACACAUGCAGGCUGCAACCAAAAAGGAUCUUGCCAUGCAAUUAUUUUUUUUAACUUGGAAUUUGUAUACAGGGUCUGUCUAAAAGUUCCUUUUUUGUAGCACUGCCUGUCGGGGCAGCACUGAAGAGAGGGGGGGAGUUGUUAUCUUCAAUAUGAGUCCAGUUUCAUUUGCCUGUGGGCAGUUGUUGAGGCAGGUCAUACCAUUGUACAAAGGUGCUAAUGCACCAUCGUCGAGAGAAAUAAAAUGGAUGAGUUUUUCGAGCUGUAUUAUGCAAUUAGGUUUUGUGUGAAACUAAGAUCAAAACAGGGCAGAGUAGCUAAAAGUGCUUCAGAAAGGUGACAAGACAGUGAAACAAAGCCAGGCUUUGAUGUGGUUCCAGGAAGGUGUGAAACGACGAUGACCAGUCUGGACGUUCAUUGAAAUCACAAAUGGGCGACUCGGCACAAAAACUACAUCAAGUUUUAGACAAGGAUCGACGAUUCAGUGUUCAGUUGAUUACAGAGGAGUGUGGAGUAUCCUAAACAAUCGUUCAACGUAUUUUGAUGAAGAAUCUUAUAAUGACCAAAGUUGGUGCAAAAAUGGUGCCAAUAGUCUUGAUAAGUGAGAUGCUGCACUGAUGGUCGUCAAGUUGCAGCCCAAAAUGGCAGCACUGCUACAGCCACUGUAAAGCCUCUACAUGGUACCACCAGACAAUUCUUGUCCCCAAUAAUCAAAUAAACUCUUCAUGAGAUGCUGGAUAGGGUAAAAGAACACGCUGAAGGAGCCUGUCAUUGGUUACGUGAAGCAUUAGUGCAUUAAACCAGGGUGAGAGUUUUUUUGAAAAGGUAUGAAAAAAGUGUAAACUGAACAGUUAUUAGUGAAAUGAAAAUUCCAAGAACUUUUGAGACAGACUUUCCUGUAUGUCAUUCCCCUCCCCUGGCCGUGCCGGAUGAUACAUAGCCCAGCCAUUUAAACUUCAGCCAACUGACUUGCCGGACAAGAAAGCUCUGCUAUUAUGUCGUGUGCUGUGCAUGACAAUUGUGCUCUUCUCAUUGGCGGCAGUACUUACUUUUUAAGUACUACUAUAAGUGCUAGGACAAAGUAACUGGCUUGUGUCUUGUGCGUUUACUGAUGUCAUUACAAAGCAGUUAUUUCUUGCAGGUCAACAGGACACUUUGAAGCAAAGUAUCAUUAAUAGGGCAGACUGGGAUCACUAACGUGUAAUUUAUAAGUAAAACUUCCACCACUUAUAGUCGGGGUUAAUGCUAAAUCGUGUAACUUAGCCGGUAUUAGUCCGCUACAAAGAAAAAGAAAAAUGGCACAGAUGCCAUAGAAAGACAGGCAGGUUAGUGCCUACCUUUUUCGUUACAUCUCUGUUGGGUUCAACACUUCUGAAUCAUAGCACAUUAAGUGCCUACCAGUGAUGUUUGGGUGCACAAACUAGUGGUAAAUCUUUGUUGUUGCAAAGCUGACCAAAACAGAUUUGCCCAGAUGUUCAUAAUAUAUACACAGUGAAAUCGAUAAAUGUAUCCAAGUCAACCUACUGCAUCCACACUUUUGGCAGUGCAUGAGAAAUAGAUGGUACCAAAGAACAAAAAUAUUCGCAACGGGAGCUUGCUCCUUGACUGCCUUUUGAAGAAAUGUUAUGGCUGUGGCAUAAGAUAGAAAUCCUGUGAAAAAAGCAUACUAAACCUUGAACCAGUGAAAUUGACCUCUGUUGAAUCUAAUCAACUGCAAUUAUUUUUUUUCAUUGAAGUGAUCUUUGCACCGUGGCUGCUUAUGUUUCUUUACACUCAAGUCCUGCUGUGAAGCCAUCUAUUCAAAGCUGAAUGCUGAAGAGCUUUCAUAGGAGAAAUGGGUCUUGUGCAACAGCUUUUGCUGCCUGUGCAUACUGCACAUUCUCCAGAUUUUGCAAAGCAAGAAAAGGUGCUGAAUUCUUAGCAGUAAAAGAUAAUUACUUUUUGUAGGAGCUUUAAAAAUCUUAUUUUCAAUUAUUUGAAACAGGAGUUUUCAUUUAAUAAUGAGAUCUAACGGACAAUCAUAUGCUAAGAAAAGUCAAUCAAAAGUCAAUGUAAAAAACAACCAUGCCCUUACUUUCCUUGGAAUGAUUGUCUUCUUGUGUCUAGCAAAAAAAAAAAAAAACGACCCCUUAAAUGUAUACUUCUGUCAUUCAGUUUUCAUUUGGUAAGUUAAGAUUACUAACAUGAGGUAUCUAUUUACAUGAAGUCAAUAAUCGCAGGGCAUAUGCAGAUGAUUGAAGUUCUACAUAAUUUCAACUACUGCCUCAGUAUACUCAUCCAUCAAUCAACAGAGCUACAGGUUUGUCUACAGGUUUCUCAGUAUGAGUCACUUGACAUGGUAUUUGAUUUAAAUAGCACCACUUUUUGCCCGCUAGUGAACUUGGCUACACAAUUUUAAGAGCAUCUAAUUUAUAGUUUGGUUGUACAGGGGUAAAUGCAUUAGAACAUCUCAAUUCGUUGUGACUCAGGAAGUCGGGGCAUAAUGCCGCAAGAGUUGCAAUGUGGGUGAUGCAUUUGAAAAGUAUUGAUGCAGUGCGAAGCGACACAUGAGAAGGUACAUAUGGUCAACACACACGUAGCGCUGUUUCGUGUCCAUAGGUGCCUUCUCAGGUCCGUAUGUCGCUACGUCAAACUUUUUCAUAAUGCCACAGUUUCAUCUGUUUGGGUGAGCUGAAGUGAUUGAAUCAUUUUUGCUUAGACAAACUGGCAGAUGAGGGUAGUUCUUUCAGUACAAUAGUUUUUUUUUUCAUUUCUUCCUGCAGCCAAGAUAUGGUCAGGUAUUUUCAACUUAUGCUUCAGGAUCAUUUUUCACUGAUAGCAAAACACUGUCAAAAGAUUUUUAGACCGAAAUGGCAGACACACUGUGUAAUUCUGGCUUCAUGUCUGGCAUGGUUCUCUUUAAUUGCCAUUUUGAUUUAAUUGAAAGGCUGGUGCACGGGGCCUCGUACAUGCUGAGCACUCUAAGCCAGUUGAAGAUAUGUAUUAAAUAAAUGUCGCUUAAUUACUGUGUGGCUUUUAUGCACUAUCAAAUUCAAGGUGAUAAAUUCACUAAUUAGUAAUGAGAUUUUAAUUGAAUGAAUAAAUGCAAGUCAUUGCAAAUUAUAGUAAUGUCUACUUAUGAAGUAACCCACAUUAAAGGGCCACUCACCACGCCCCACAUCAAAUUUUAGUUAGACCGUGGGAGUUGUUGGGUGUUCGAUGAGAAACAUUUUUCCACGAAAUUUUUGUUAAUCGGUUCAUUAGGAGCUGAGAAAACUUCUUUUUUGAAGUGGUGCAAAAUGAGACUGAGAGGAGGCAAGAUCGAAACGCUUGCCACUCCUCCGCGAAGCCUUCGCAAGCUAAAUCUCUUUCCUACCCGCUGCAGCAUCCGACAUAGAGGUUACGUGUGCACGACGUUCCCGAACAAGCCCAACCCCCGCGCACGCAAGCAUAAUUUUUUUUUUACCAGCGUUCUUUUGAGGUCUACUGCCUGUUUCUGUGGGAUGGUUUAGAAACGCCGCAUUAAACGCGGUAGAAUAGAUGAGCACAAUGAGUGCGGGAAUACCUAGGAGCGUUCUAUGGCUGUCGUCUGCUUGAUGCGCUGACCGGCCGAAUCGCGGGGACACAAAUGCAUGUAAAACACCGGCGCAUUAGCCCUGCAUCUCGUUGCAAUUCAUGAGAAAAAAAAUGAAAAAAAGAACGCUCACAUUGCCUUUAUUGCGUCUCAUUAAUUAUCCAGAAAUUCAUUAAUCUCUUCAAGCAACAAAUACAUAAACUACGCAUGUUGUGUUAAAUAAUUUUCGCCAUGUCACAUGCCACUGCUGGCAACGUCAGAGCAUAGUCGUCUACAUAGAGCACCAACGUCACUGCAUUGCCGUGUACGUAGGGCUAUUCAUAUGCGCACGUCAUGCCCUUAUUCUCUGGGCGCUCACCCGCGAGAGAAAGAGGGAGUAGUGUUCAUCUUGAAUUUUGGCCCAUUUACGUGGCGCUCAGCAUUGCAAAUUUUGGCAUACAUGAUCAUGAACACCUCAUUCAAGCAUUGCGCUUGUCAGCUCAAAAUUGUCAGACCUAAUGAGUGGCCCUUUAAAAAGAAAGAUCUUAUCUGUCACACAGGAAGUCAUAUACAGUUAAACUGCUUUAUAAGAGGCAUGCUUCGGGUUGCAAUUCUUGUCUUUUGUAUGAGGAGAGUACUUUGUAUGCAUUUUCUUAUCAACCCGUAUUUUACUGUGGGCACACUGGUGUCUCUUAUACCCAUUGGUCUCUUACAUCAGCGUCUUUUACAUGGGUUCGACUGCAGUAAAUAUUAUUUGUGCAUCGAUGGAAUGUGGUUGUAUUUCGCGUAGGCUGACAGUGCAAUGUGUAAAAAAUAUAUGUAGAGACAUGUCUUCAUGAAUCUUAAAGGGCCAGUGAAACAGGCUCCGACUUUUUUCUGUAAAACCUCCAAAUGAGCUUGCUGAUUUGUACAGUAGACCAUGGUGAUCACAAUUUGCAAAUACUACAGAGCUGCGCACCAUGCGAGCUGUCCAUUUCGAAAAACAAUUCUCACGCCUCUUUCUUAUGCCUGAGCAAUCCUCCUCGUAUGCGCUGUGACUGAGCCUGCCGAUUAGUCCUUUGCAUUAUUUUCAUUUUCCUAGCGUGCCAUUUCGUAGACUACCGGCCAGAACGAAAGCUUUCAAGAGGUGUCUUGCUACUUUAUCACUAGAGGAAGAUAGCCUACCACCUCAUCAGAGCGCUGCUUUAACACCGCUGCACACGUGCUCAUUUGCUGGCUGCACCGCAAUGCUGACGUGAUGAGGACCGCCAGUGAGAAAGGGUGGGAAGGACGAGUGAGAAAUCAGCCAACCCAGCUCGUUCAAUACAGCUAAGUUCUUGUGGCAGCAUGUUCACAUUGUACAAGUGCUCGGUUAUUUCUCUAUGAGAAAUAUUGAACCGGAAGAUUGUUUACUGUCGUUUUCAUAAUUAUGACAGUGUUUUGUAGAGAGUGCAUAUGAAAUAUGUUGCUUUUAGGUAUUCAUAUGCUUUUUGUUAUUGCUGAUGCGGUUAGCUGACAUGUCAUAUUUAUUUUGUAGUCAUAUAGGGUGACUAUUUGGAAGCUCAAGUCACAGGCGCAUAAGCUAUCACUAAUCACAGUUGCGGUAGAGUGUACUAGAAUGGGAAAGUGGGUCCACUCGAGCGGAUAGCAAGCAGUGCGGGUGAAGCAAAAAGACUUGAAAAUUUGCGGUGGCACUGCAGUCGUCUUCGUGUGGUCUGGUGUUGGGCCGGUGCAGCAGUGGCCGGCAGCGCUCGUGGGCAUGCCUGGGACUAAAAGAGCGCCGAGGCUGUCGUUUGCUCGGCGCAGUAUCGUCUGCUUGAGGCAUUCGCCGCUCGCGUGUUGAUUUUCUUUACCAUUUGUUCGCUAGCUACUUUCAACUUUGUUGGUGCAAAAAAAAAAAAAAAAGAAUCUAAUGCGAUGAAGCUAGCCCUGCUGCUAUUAGCUACAAGCAGGGUGUUCAGCGAAAUUAAUGUAGUGCCUUCUAUUAGUUGAAUUAUUCAAGAGACAUGGUGCGACACUGUGCAUGGCUUUGCACGAAUGCUGCUGCAUGCUGCUGCAGUGCUGUGGAAUACACUUGAGAUGCAACGCCCACGCCACAGCUGCCGGUGGCGGCUGCUGCGCGUGAUCAUAACUAUGGAAACAUCAACGGUAGCCAUGGUAACGUUCAGGUGAAAGCUACAGGGGCACUGCCUGGAUUUUCAGAAAGAAAUGCCUCAGCGCAGAGCCCUGUGUGGACCCACUACCACAUUCUAGUGCAUUCUAGUUGCAACAGAUGAUCACUCAAGAUCGUGUGCAGAAGGGUACAGCCUAUGCAAAAGCUUCCUGAAGAAUUCUCGAAUGUUUGCAUCUAGUCGAAGACGAGUCGAGUCGAGACGAAUAGUCGACAUCUAGUCGAGACGAAUAAAAAUAUUAAGUCACAAUGCGGAUGUCAAUGUAGGAGGUGAAAGUUUUCCAAGAGCUGAUUGACGAGCACAUGCAUGCAUUGAAUGUGCAGAGUGAUUUUCCACAUUUACUGUGUCAUGAACUAUUGAUUGUGUGAUUGCAAUGAAAACAUGUCCUUAGACUGUGAUGAUUUCUUUUUUCUUAUUAGUUCGCUGUAUUUUGAUUUGCUUAAAUGUUUCUGUUGCAACGAAGAGAUCCCAGGAUGUAAGCAUCAAGUGCAUCCUUUUAUGGCACUAUUUUAGUGUAAUUUGUUGUGCGAUUGAAAAUCUUGCUGUGACUGAUUCUUUCAGGCAUCACCAUGUUGAACCAUGUGUCAUUGUUUAAGGUGUUCAACCAGAACCGCUUUUUUUCUAAAGAGUCUGUUGCUCUUGAUGCUGUUCAAGCAAUGUGGUCAUUCAGGCAAACAAUGCCAGAGAAGGUUGUUAGCGUUAAUAGCUUAAGCACUGAAAAUCCGUUUUAUUAAAACUGCAUGUUCAAAAAUUUGGAAUGCCUGUGAUGGUAAGCAUGAAGCAAUGAAAAAAAAGCUUGAAUGCACACUGUUGGGAAACUGCAUGCUUUCAUGAAAAUAGAGGUAGUAUGAGUGUAUAUACAUACAAUUUUGUGGUACAGCUACACAGUUAGUUACUGCCAAUUCAGGCAAAGAGCAAAUAUAUGAUUGACAUGAUUUUCCUAUAGUUGAACAACUCUAUGUGUACCUGACAGUGUGCAUUUACACCUCAAGAAGCAUCAAAGUUCCUCAGAAACAUGCUCCCUGGAGUGCACAAGUGCACGGCUUUAAUGCCUCUUCAACGCACGAGUGCACUCAUGCUGUAUAGCAUCAGUUGUCCAUAAAAAAGCGGCAGCCCAUUUUUUAUUUGCCUGUGUACAAUUCUGUGCCGCCUUUAGCAGUAUCAUGUUCACUUGCUGGCAUGAUAUCUUUUCUGUGAAUAAGCUUGCGAGAAGCUUACUCUUGCGUCUCACUGUUUCUUUACCAUUCUGAUAAUAGACUAAAUUGUGGAAAC
rnacentral:lncRNA from 1 species